rnacentral:misc_RNA from 1 species
GGACAAUAUCGCCGACUGGCGGGUCAUUCACAGGGAACUUUUACAGGACCAAGAGUUAAUUGGUCAGGCUCCAGUCUUCGAACUGAGGCUACUGGCUACGGAUUGGUUUUCUUUGCUCAACUUAUGCUUGCAGACAUGAACAAAGAACUAAAAGGAUUAAGGUGUGCAGUUAGCGGUUCAGGAAAGAUUGCAAUGCAUGUCCUAGAGAAGCUUAUUGCUUAUGGGGCCGUUCCCAUCACCAUAUCUGAUGCAAAGGGUUAUCUGGUGGAUGAUGAUGGAUUUGAUUUCUUGAAGAUAUCUUUCCUGAGAGACAUCAAAGCUCAGCAGAGAAGCUUAAGAGACUACUCAAAGACUUAUGCUCGCUCAAAGUACUAUGAUGAAGCGAAGCCUUGGAGUGAAAGGUGUGAUGUUGCAUUCCCCUGUGCCUCACAGAAUGAAAUUAAUCAAUCUGACGCCAUUAACUUGGUUAACUCUGGUUGUCGUAUACUUGUAGAAGGCUCCAAUAUGCCAUGUACUGCUGAAGCAGUAGACGUUUUGAGAAAAGCUAAUGUCCUAGUUGCUCCUUCUAUUGCUGCUGGUGUGGGAGGGGUUGUUGCAGGGGAACUUGAACUGAAAGAGUGCAAUUUGAACUGGUCUCCAGAGGAUUUUGAGUCUAAAUUACAGGAGGCUAUGAAACAGACUUACCAGAGAGCCCUGAAGGCAGCAGCUGAUUUUGGUUAUCAAAAGGAAAGUCCAGAGGCAUUGGUCCAUGGAGCUGUUAUCUCUGCUUUCAUAACGAUCGCCAAUGGUAUGGUGGACCAAGGAUGUGUAUAAAAUUGCAGCAUUUUCUUGACAUAGCCUCGUGUUAUAUCCAAAAUACAUUUUCAUUUGGCAUCAAUAACAAAGAAAGCGCGCCGUUGGUUCCAUCCGCAUUGUUGGCUACUUUCAUGAUCUUGCACAGUGCUUGGUAGUGUAGAUGGUGAGAGGAAUGUAUGUUUAUCAUUGUAAUGUACAUGUAUUAUGCAGGUGAGCUAUGUCUAAAACAUCGAUAGGAUACACUUUAUUAUCUAGUUAGCUAGGUUAUUAUGUUAGCUGGGAAAAUACAAAGGUUGAAAGCAAAACAAUUGUAUUAUGGGAAACUUUCAC